rnacentral:lncRNA from 1 species
GUUUGAGAGAUGAUAGUGAGGGUGUAGACGAACCUGUUGAGAAAAAGAGUGGGAGUGUUCCAAGAAAAAAUCCACAACCAUCAAGGAAAAAUCAGAGGGAUGGUGGAAGGAAUAUAGUAUCUCUUGUCCAGUUGAAGCAUCCAUUCCAAGGGACAAUGAUCGUGCUUAUGAUCCUCCAGAGGGUUGCCUCGCUUUGAAUUCGACCAUUCUUCAUGUCGGGUUGAGGCUAACAUUUCUUCACAUUACCAGGAAGUUCCUAUCCUCGUGAGGAAUCAUCCUUGUGCAACUUUGUCCAAACGGGUAGAGGUCCUUGUGUGCUUGCAUGCUACUUUGGCACAAGUUUUCUGUGGACUAGUUUAGUUUCUUGUAUAUUUUUAAGGAGGACAACAAGGAUUCAAGGUGAUAUUAUACCCACUGUUUAGGCUAGGACAGGAUGGUCUAGUGUUGGGUGUUAUUUCUUCUUUGAAGAGCUGGAAAGAUAACUUCUUUUACAUAAGGUGGGAUUGGGAUUGGUAGUUUAAUUCGACUGAGGUGAAGGGGAUGACGUUUUUCCAAUUCGGUAUCGUAAAAUUUGUAAGUGUUCUGUAUUUAGCCCCCAUAUGGCUCCCAUUCUUUCCAAAUUUUAUUGGUUGGAGUAGUGUUUUUAAAAAAAUGUGUGAUUGAAAAAGAAUGAAAUGUUUUUGAUUUGCGUGUAAUAUUAUUUUAUGGAAAAUCGCGUGGUUAAAAAUAAUAGAGAAAAAAAGAAUGAGAAAGAGAAUGAGGGCCAAAUAGGGGCUUAGAUAGUUUCUUACUGGACUGCUGGCAUGACAUUUCAGAUUUUUUCCCUUUUUUCUUAUGUUUGAAAGUUUACCGUCCUUGCAAUAUUAUUAUGAGCACGAGGUAGGUAGCUAGGGCUGGUGAAGAGCAUGUCCAUAGAAUUUCUGUUUUAAAUUUUUUUUUGCAAAGUGUUGCAACACUUGCAACAUUAACUCAGAUUACUGAGGACCAGGUCUUUGAAA